rnacentral:rRNA from 1 species
CCUACGGGUAGCAGCAGUGGGGAAUAUUGGACAAUGGGCGAAAGCCUGAUCCAGCCAUGCCGCGUGUGUGAAGAAGGCCUUCGGGUUGUAAAGCACUUUCAGUGGGGAAGAAAGCCUUGGGGCUAAUACCCUCGAGGAAGGACAUCACCCACAGAAGAAGCACCGGCUAACUCCGUGCCAGCAGCCGCGGUAAUACGGAGGGUGCGAGCGUUAAUCGGAAUUACUGGGCGUAAAGCGCGUGUAGGCGGUCUGAUAAGCCGGUUGUGAAAGCCCCGGGCUCAACCUGGGAACGGCAUCCGGAACUGUCAGGCUAGAGUGCAGGAGAGGAAGGUAGAAUUCCCGGUGUAGCGGUGAAAUGCGUAGAGAUCGGGAGGAAUACCAGUGGCGAAGGCGGCCUUCUGGACUGACACUGACGCUGAGGUGCGAAAGCGUGGGUAGCAAACAGGAUUAGAUACCCCGGUAGUC